rnacentral:rRNA from 1 species
UGCAAGUCGAGCGAACAGACAAGGAGCUUGCUCCUUUGACGUUAGCGGCGGACGGGUGAGUAACACGUGGGUAACCUACCUAUAAGACUGGGAUAACUUCGGGAAACCGGAGCUAAUACCGGAUAAUAUUUCGAACCGCAUGGUUCGAUAGUGAAAGAUGGUUUUGCUAUCACUUAUAGAUGGACCCGCGCCGUAUUAGCUAGUUGGUAAGGUAACGGCUUACCAAGGCGACGAUACGUAGCCGACCUGAGAGGGUGAUCGGCCACACUGGAACUGAGACACGGUCCAGACUCCUACGGGAGGCAGCAGUAGGGAAUCUUCCGCAAUGGGCGAAAGCCUGACGGAGCAACGCCGCGUGAGUGAUGAAGGUCUUCGGAUCGUAAAACUCUGUUAUUAGGGAAGAACAUACGUGUAAGUAACUAUGCACGUCUUGACGGUACCUAAUCAGAAAGCCACGGCUAACUACGUGCCAGCAGCCGCGGUAAUACGUAGGUGGCAAGCGUUAUCCGGAAUUAUUGGGCGUAAAGCGCGCGUAGGCGGUUUUUUAAGUCUGAUGUGAAAGCCCACGGCUCAACCGUGGAGGGUCAUUGGAAACUGGAAAACUUGAGUGCAGAAGAGGAAAGUGGAAUUCCAUGUGUAGCGGUGAAAUGCGCAGAGAUAUGGAGGAACACCAGUGGCGAAGGCGACUUUCUGGUCUGUAACUGACGCUGAUGUGCGAAAGCGUGGGGAUCAAACAGGAUUAGAUACCCUGGUAGUCCACGCCGUAAACGAUGAGUGCUAAGUGUUAGGGGGUUUCCGCCCCUUAGUGCUGCAGCUAACGCAUUAAGCACUCCGCCUGGGGAGUACGACCGCAAGGUUGAAACUCAAAGGAAUUGACGGGGACCCGCACAAGCGGUGGAGCAUGUGGUUUAAUUCGAAGCAACGCGAAGAACCUUACCAAAUCUUGACAUCCUUUGACAACUCUAGAGAUAGAGCCUUCCCCUUCGGGGGACAAAGUGACAGGUGGUGCAUGGUUGUCGUCAGCUCGUGUCGUGAGAUGUUGGGUUAAGUCCCGCAACGAGCGCAACCCUUAAGCUUAGUUGCCAUCAUUAAGUUGGGCACUCUAAGUUGACUGCCGGUGACAAACCGGAGGAAGGUGGGGAUGACGUCAAAUCAUCAUGCCCCUUAUGAUUUGGGCUACACACGUGCUACAAUGGACAAUACAAAGGGCAGCGAAACCGCGAGGUCAAGCAAAUCCCAUAAAGUUGUUCUCAGUUCGGAUUGUAGUCUGCAACUCGACUACAUGAAGCUGGAAUCGCUAGUAAUCGUAGAUCAGCAUGCUACGGUGAAUACGUUCCCGGGUCUUGUACACACCGCCCGUCACACCACGAGAGUUUGUAACACCCGAAGCCGGUGGAGUAACCAUUUGGAGCUAGCCGUCGAAG